GCACAGGAAGAGCUGGUCGUACGCCAGCGUCUUUUGAGUGUCGAUCACUGGAGCCAGAGGGGCUGCAAGGAACGAAACAGGUGAAAGUGUCUGAAUGAGGAAUCAGCAGACAGAGAGAAGCACUGCAGGUUUGCGAUGGCCUUCACCAGCCUGCCAAGGGAAAUUAAAACAAUCAGACUUAGAGGGG